AAGCUGAUGCGGGGUGCAGAAACGUACGUCGUGAUCCACUAUAAAAGCCCGUUAACUUCCAUUCUCGAAUGCAUAUAUUUGCGCCUUUGUCUUUGUGUUUUAUCCCCACACCGUUUGGCAACUGGUGUUGGUUUGUGGAGUUCCCCUGUUUUGCGGUUCAGCAAAAAAUACAACAGAGUGACGUGAUGAAAACACUCCUUGUUCUCUGCUUUUGGUACUGUGUGCUACUUUCAAACGUCUUAACGUAUAAGUUAGUCCAUGAUGAAGCUGCUCUCAGUGCUCGGGAACCUGUCGAUGGUUCGCUAAAUAGAGAGGCUAAAAGACGUGAUAUUAAAUGUGCAAUAUAUAAAUGGACAUGCACUGUCAAAAAGACUACAAUAGAAUAUACUUGCUGUGAAGGUAUGGAGUGUAGAUGUAACCCGUUCUGGAAAUCGAACUGCCGCUGUUAUGAAUUGACAUAUGAAGAUAUUGGAAUCAACCCCCCAUCUGGCUGAUUCCGUUUCACACAACAUUUAUAUACUCCUCUGACUAUCUUAUUAUAUUGUUGUUCAGUUUACGCUCCAAUAAUUCCUUUGUUUGUUCAGACAGAAGCUAAAGGAAAUGAACUGUUUUGCUGUGAGAAUUUGUCAUGUAGAUGUAACGGCCUUUUGAAACCCAGCUGCCCUUGUCAUGAAGUUUAUAAUGAACACCUCGGAAUAGCUCCCAUUGGAUGACCAUUCCGUUCCGCAAUGUAUUUUAUUUUCCUUUCGAUUAUUUAUUUUGUUGCUGGUCAGGCAAGAGUUUUCACAUGCAUGAGUAUAUAUUCAAUAAAGAUAGCUUGUUGAGAAUUUCUUACACACAA